rnacentral:misc_RNA from 1 species
UGACAUGGCAAGAAAUCCCAAAAAUGAUUUACAUUUCCCAGCCCUAGCCGCUAAAGAGCUUCGCUUGAUGUUCUCCAUAAAGCAGUAAUGCCCCGUGGUCUAAUUCUGAUGAGCAUGCCAUUCCUUGAAUUUAUUCUAAUUCCUAACCACCUGAAUCAAUCCCCUAUCUGGAUGGAAUUUCAACAAGAAACAAUUUUCAGUUAUCAAAUCUUCCAAAAAAAUGUGAAAAUUAACAAAAUAAAAUAAACAGAUAAAUCAAAACAUCAUAGCCCAUAGGGUGGAAUUAAGGAGACAAAAUUGUAACAGACAUGUACACAAUCUGAAGACAGAAUGCUGGAAUUUCCCGCCAACAGCAUCACAUUAAACUCUCCGGCUAACCAAAUCCAAAACCUUCA